UACGUAGGGUGCGAGCGUUGUCCGGAAUUACUGGGCGUAAAGAGCUCGUAGGUGGUUUGUCGCGUUGUUCGUGAAAACCGGGGGCUUAACCCUCGGCGUGCGGGCGAUACGGGCAGACUGGAGUACUGCAGGGGAGACUGGAAUUCCUGGUGUAGCGGUGGAAUGCGCAGAUAUCAGGAGGAACACCGGUGGCGAAGGCGGGUUGCUGGGCUGACACUGACGCUGAUGCGCGAAAGCCAGGGGAGCGAACGGG
rnacentral:rRNA from 1 species